GGAUUAGAUACCCUGGUAGUCCACGCCGUAAACGAUGUGUGCUAGUUGUCGGGCGCUUAGCGUUCGGUGACGGAGCGAAAGUAUUAAGCACACCGCCUGGGGAGUACGGCCGCAAGGUUAAAACUCAAAGGAAUUGACGGGGACCCGCACAAGCGGUGGAGCAUGUUGUUUAAUUCGACGCAACGCGAAGAACCUUACCCACUCUUGACAUCCUCCUUGGGACUCGCAGAGAUGCUUGUCUUCGGUUCGGCCGGGGGAGUGACAGGUGCUGCAUGGCUGUCGUCAGCUCGUGCCG
rnacentral:rRNA from 1 species